rnacentral:rRNA from 1 species
GACGAACGCUGGCGGCGUGCUUAACACAUGCAAGUCGAACGCUGAACCCGCUUCGGUGGGGGAUGAGUGGCGAACGGGUGAGUAACACGUGGGCAACCUGCCCCCGGCUCUGGGAUAACUCCAAGAAAUUGGGGCUAAUACCGGAUGUGACCGCUGGCCGCAUGGUCUGGUGGUGGAAAGGGUUUCCGGCUGGGGAUGGGCCCGCGGCCUAUCAGCUUGUUGGUGGGGUAGUGGCCUACCAAGGCGACGACGGGUAGCCGGCCUGAGAGGGUGACCGGCCACACUGGGACUGAGACACGGCCCAGACUCCUACGGGAGGCAGUAGUGGGGAAUAUUGCGCAAUGGGCGGAAGCCUGACGCAGCGACGCCGCGUGGGGGAUGACGGCCUUCGGGUUGUAAACCUCUUUCAGCAGGGACGAAGCGCAAGUGACGGUACCUGCAGAAGAAGCACCGGCCAACUACGUG